AGGGUGCGAGCGUUAAUCGGAAUUACUGGGCGUAAAGCGUGCGCAGGUGGUUUGUUAAGUCAGAUGUGAAAGCCCCGAGCUUAACUUGGGAACUGCGUUUGAAACUGGUAAGCUAGAGUCUGUCAGAGGGGGGUAGAAUUCCACGUGUAGCAGUGAAAUGCGUAGAGAUGUGGAGGAAUACCAAUGGCGAAGGCAGCCCCCUGGGAUAAGACUGACGCUCAUGCACGAAAGCGUGGGGAGCAAACAGGAUUAGAUACCCUGGUAGUCCACGCCCUAAACGAUGUCAACUGGUUGUUGGGCAACUUGAUUGUUCAGUAACGAAGCUAACGCGAGAAGUUGACCGCCUGGGGAGUACGGUCGCAAGAUUAAAACUCAAAGGAAUUGACGGGGACCCGCACAAGCGGUGGAUGAUGUGGAUUAAUUCGAUGCAACGCGAAAAACCUUACCUACCCUUGACAUGUACGGAAGUCUGCUGAGAGGUGGAUGUGCCUGAAAGGGAACCGUAACACAGGUGCUGCAUGGCUGUCGUCAGCUCGUGUCGUGAGAUGUUGGGUUAAGUCCCGCAACGAGCGCAACCCUUGCUAUUAAUUGCCAUCAUUAAGUUGGGCACUUUAAUAGGACUACUGGUGAUAAACCGGAGGAAGGUGGGGAUGACGUCAAGUCCUCAUGGCCCUUAUGGGUAGGGCUUCCCACGUCAUACAAUGGCCGGUACAGAGGGAUGCCAACCCGCGAGGGGGAGCCAAUCUCAGAAAGCCGGUCGUAGUCCGGAUUGUUCUCUGCAACUCGAGAGCAUGAAGUCGGAAUCGCUAGUAAUCGCGGAU
rnacentral:rRNA from 1 species